AGUAAGAAAAGAUGAAGGCCCUAAUCCUGAUUACGGUUGUCUUGACCAUAACUGCUUGCUUCUCUCCAGCUGAAGGACGUAAGAGGAGACACCAUGGAAAACACCAUGAUGACACACACAAUCCAGGACGUGGCGAUCCUUUCAGAGGGCCUAGAGGACCAUGGGGUCCCAGAGGACCACACGGUCCUGGAGGACGUCCUGGUCCAACUCCUCCAGGUGGUUUUUUUGGGACACCAGGUUCACCUGAUGCACAUGAAAGAGAUGGGCAAGGACUG